UACAGAGGUCUCAAGCGUUGUUCGGAUUCAUUGGGCGUAAAGGGUGCGUAGGUGGCGGGGUAAGUCAGGUGUGAAAUUUCGGAGCUUAACUCCGAAACUGCAUUUGAUACUGCCUUGCUUGAGGACUGGAGAGGAGACUGGAAUUCAUGGUGUAGCAGUGAAAUGCGUAGAGAUCAUGAGGAAGGCCAGUGGCGAAGGCGGGUCUCUGGACAGUUCCUGACACUGAGGCACGAAGGCCAGGGGAGCAAACGGG
rnacentral:rRNA from 1 species